rnacentral:rRNA from 1 species
UACGUAGGGGGCAAGCGUUACCCGGAUUUACUGGGCGUAAAGCGCGUGUAGGCGGCUGGCCAAGCGUGGUGUGAAAUCUCCAGGCUCAACCUGGAAACUGCACUGCGAACUGGUCUGGCUGGAGUGCAGGAGAGGGAUGCGGAAUUCCCGGUGUAGCGGUGAAAUGCGCAGAUAUCGGGAGGAACACCAGUGGCGAAGGCGACUACCUGGCCUGUUCUUGACGCUGAGGCGCGAAAGCUAGGGGAGCAAACGGG